rnacentral:tRNA from 2 species
GCAGAUGUGGUGGAAUUGGCAGACACGCCAGAUUUAGGUUCUGGUGCGCAAGCGUAUGAGUUCAAGUCUCUUCAUCUGCACCA